AUGCUGUUAACUAAUGUUCUUUUCUCAUUUCCAAGGGGAAAAUGUCAGAUACAAGAUUUCUGCUGGAGCAAGGCAGAUCAAUAUGGCUUUACAAGAACUGUGAGGGAAUGUUCAGGAACUGUUGAAUCAUGGCCUAAAUCUCUGAUUGAUCACCUGAGGCAAGCACUGAGUCAGAUGUGGGACCACAGGUGAAGGCAAUUCAGCCUUCUGUGACCAGAAGAGGUGGACCCUGGCUGCACCUCUCCUAGACCUAGACCCUGACUGCUACUGGGGUAGUAUGAUUUUCUGGAGAUUGCUCUCUUUGGAGUUUUUCUGCAUGCUAAGGACCCAGGUGAGUGUUUUUGUUUGUUUUUGAUUAUCCCUUUCCACUGUGAUGAUUUUUCUAGCUAUAUGAUCUGUAGAUACUAGCCUAAUCAUUGCACUCUAUGUUGAUUAUACAGGGAAAGAUACCAUUUCUUGCUUGAUAGGCCUGUAAGAGAGUAAGGUCUCAAGGCUGUUUUGCCACAGGGGCAUUUUGAUAAGCCUUCAAGAUUAGGCUCUACCAACAGAACCACAUUCAUGAUCUUAAUGCAGAAGUUACACUAAUAAAUAGUUGCUUCGUUGACUAAAAUGUUGCUGG
rnacentral:lncRNA from 1 species